AUUGAUCGCUGGCGGCAGGCCUAACACAUGCAAGUCGAACGGUAACAGGAAGCAGCUUGCUGCUUUGCUGACGAGUGGCGGACGGGUGAGUAAUGUCUGGGAAACUGCCCGAUGGAGGGGGAUAACUACUGGAAACGGUAGCUAAUACCGCAUAACGUCGCAAGACCAAAGAGGGGGACCUUAGGGCCUCUUGCCAUCGGAUGUGCCCAGAUGGGAUUAGCUAGUAGGUGGGGUAACGGCUCACCUAGGCGACGAUCCCUAGCUGGUCUGAGAGGAUGACCAGCCACACUGGAACUGAGACACGGUCCAGACUCCUACGGGAGGCAGCAGUGGGGAAUAUUGCACAAUGGGCGCAAGCCUGAUGCAGCCAUGCCGCGUGUAUGAAGAAGGCCUUCGGGUUGUAAAGUACUUUCAGCGGGGAGGAAGGGAGUAAAGUUAAUACCUUUGCUCAUUGACGUUACCCGCAGAAGAAGCACCGGCUAACUCCGUG
rnacentral:rRNA from 1 species